GAUGAACGCGGAGGCGUGCCUAAUACAGCAAGUCGAGCGAACGGACGAGAAGCUUGCUUCUCUGAUGUUGCGGCGGACGGGUGAGUAACACGUGGAUAACCUACCUAUAAGACUGGGAUAACUUCGGGAAACCGUAGCUAAUACCGGAUAAUAUUUUUGAACCGCAUGGUUCAAAAGUGAAAGACGGUCUUGCUGUCACUUAUAGAUGGAUCCGCGCUGCAUUAGCUAGUUGGUAAGGUAACGGCUUACCAAGGCAACGAUGCAUAGCCGACCUGAGAGGGUGAUCGGCCACACUGGAACUGAGACACGGUCCAGACUCCUACGGGAGGCAGCAGUAGGGAAUCUUCCGCAAUGGGCGAAAGCCUGACGGAGCAACGCCGCGUGAGUGAUGAAGGUCUUCGGAUCGUAAAACUCUGUUAUUAGGGAAGAACAUAUGUGUAAGUAACUGUGCACAUCUUGACGGUACCUAAUCAGAAAGCCACGGCUAACUACGUGCCAGCAGCCGCGGUAAUACGUAGGUGGCAAGCGUUAUCCGGAAUUAUUGGGCGUAAAGCGCGCGUAGGCGGUUUUUUAAGUCUGAUGUGAAAGCCCACGGCUCAACCGUGGAGGGUCAUUGGAAACUGGAAAACUUGAGUGCAGAAGAGGAAAGUGGAAUUCCAUGUGUAGCGGUGAAAUGCGCAGAGAUAUGGAGGAACACCAGUGGCGAAGGCGACUUUCUGGUCUGUAACUGACGCUGAUGUGCGAAAGCGUGGGGAUCAAACAGG
rnacentral:rRNA from 1 species